rnacentral:lncRNA from 1 species
AGCAAGCAAGCAUGGCACAGCCCACGUGAGGUAGUGGCUGGUUGGUAGGAGUUUAGGGUUGUGAAAAAUGGUUCCUGUCUUCUUUUUAUUACGACUCAGCUAGUAACGACUGUGUAGGCGGCAGGAGAUCAGAAAUAAAUGUCUGACUUGGAUUUUGCACAAUUGGGUUCGGCUCCAAAGCGCACUGCCUGCCCACUGACCCAGCUCAAGUUUUACAGGGACAGCAAAUAGGUAUAGUUUGGGAAAUCUCAGCCCCGCCUCCGGGUGAGGGGGGCGUCGGAGCCCUGGAACUUGCUGGUUUGCAGGUCGCUCCUGAUUAGAAGGCCACCAGCUGUUCUGCUUCCAGAUUCAAUUCCGAGAACACCGAAAAAAAAAAAUCAUCUAGUUUCUCUAGUUUCUUCUCUUUUCUUCCCCGGGGGCAUUUUCUUCUUUGAUUCCUUUUCCUCCCUGCUCUUUCUCCUUCUCUUGUUUUUACAGUCUCCCGGUAAUGACUAAUUGGCUGUGUUUCCCAACUUUUUUAUGUUUCUCUUGCUCUUGUUACUAGCGGUACUAACCCCGUGAUAUCCACAGGGACCUAUAGACAGCCAACAUUCCCAAGUGACAUACAGCAUUCUCUUUUCUUUCAAAGCGCAAAACAUUUACAAGGAAAUGUACAAAUGUAUUAGGCACAUUUCCCGGGUCGGUCAUUAGAGCGCCUCUGCGCCGGGGUGGGCCCCUUCACCCUCCCCCUCCUCCGACCCCAACGGUCCCCUCUGGAGCGCGCGUUUCCGCGUGCCAGCGGGACGGCCCGCGAGACCGCAAUUGCUCUGGCCGGGAUUGACGAGCCUCGGAUGCCCAUUUACUGCGCGCGGCAGCCACUCUGGAGCCGCGGCACAUCUGGAUGGAGUCAGCCGCUGAGCGCCAGGGGCCAGCGCAGUGCGGCGGCGAGCUAGGGAGGCCGGCGCCCAGGCCGCCUCCGCGCUGCCCCCGUGCGCCCGGGCUGGAUUUCCUGAUGUAAACAGAGCGGCCCUGCAGGAACACAGCCGCUCUGCUCCCCGUGUCACUGAGCGUGCUUUAUCUGCUCAGGGUCAACAUUGCGACUUAAGAAAACAGAAGCGUUGCUUUGAAUUUAAACAGCUCCAAAGCCACAACCCAUCUCUUCUGGGCUGGGGAGGGAAAGCCUGGCAACCCGGCUCCGGCCUUUGUGUUUACUUGUUCCAGUUUCUGAAAACACAAUGCCAGUUACUUGGUCAGAGGACAAGAUAUACCUGGAGGGACCUAGGAGAUGCUAACCCAUUCUUGGGGAAGGAGGAAGAGAUACAAAGAGAUGGACAACUUGCCAGCAUCCAUUGAAUGCCCAUAGCAAUUAGAAACCCAAGCCUGCAAUUUGGAGAGAAAAGAGUGAAGUUUGGUGAGUUGCAAAAGUAGAUCA